UACGGAGGAUCCAAGCGUUGUCCGGAAUUAUUGGGCGUAAAGCGCGCGUAGGCGGUUUCUUAAGUCUGAUGUGAAAUCUUGCGGCUCAACCGCAAGCGGUCAUUGGAAACUGGGGAACUUGAGUGCAGAAGAGGAGAGUGGAAUUCCACGUGUAGCGGUGAAAUGCGUAGAUAUGUGGAGGAACACCAGUGGCGAAGGCGACUCUCUGGUCUGUAACUGACGCUGAGGUGCGAAAGCGUGGGGAGCGAACAGG
rnacentral:misc_RNA from 1 species